GGGUGAGUCGGCCUCGCCAGUGCGCAUGCGCGAGGCCCGAGCCGCCGCUUUGGUCACAGUGACCGCCACCAUUGCCCGGGGAUGGGUCCUUGAGACUUGGCGAAGUAGGAGCCCUGUGUGAUCGUGCGUCAGAGUCGGGGCUGAGACCAGCCCUGGCCAGGGCAGUUACCAGGACGGUCUCCGGAGGCCGGGAUUCGCGGAGGGUCCACCAGCAGGAAGAAACCCCAGGAGGAAGAAAACUCAGACAGAUCGCCGGGGAGGCAGCGCGGGAUCCCAGCCUCAGGCGUGCGCGGACGGUGUGCGGCUAUAUGAAGCACCGGCUCCCUCUUCAUUUUCCCACCAUGGUUAUACAUUUCAUGAGGCCUCCCCACAUGCCCAGCAGAUGCAACAUUCUUUCUGUACAGCAUGCAGAACUAUAUCAUGGAAAUCAGGACAGUAGCAGUUGGGAUUGUGGCAAUCAAAGGGGUGGAAAGUGAAUUCUAUCUUGCAACGAACGAGGAAGGAAAACUCUAUGCAAAGAAGGAAUGCAAUGAAGAUUGUAACUUCAAAGAUCUAAUUCUGGAAAACCAUUACAACACAUAUGCAGCAGCUAAAUGGACAAACAACGGAGGGGAAAUGUUUGUGGCCUUAAAUCAAAAGGGGAUUCCUGUAAGAGGAAAAAAAACAAAGAAAGAACAAAAAACAGCCCACUUUCUUCCUAUGGCAAUAACUUAAUUGCAUAUGGUAUAUAAAGAACCAGUUCCAGCAGGGAGAUUUCUUUAAGUGGACUGUUUUCUUUCUUCUCAAAAUUUUCUUUCCUUUUAUUUUCUAGUAAUCAAGAAAGGCUGGAAAACUACUGAAAAACUGAUCAAGCUGGACUUGCGCAUUUAUGUUUGUUUUAAGACACUGCAUUAAAGAGACAUUUGAAAAGUAUACACAAAAAUCAGAUUUAGUAACUAAAGGUUGUACAAAAUUGUAAAACUGGUUGUACAAUCAUGAUGUUAGUAAUAGUAAUUUUUUUCUUAAAUUAAUUUACCCUUAAGAGUAUGUUAGAUUUGAUUAUCUGAUAAUGAUUAUUUAAAUAUUCCUAUCUGCUUAUAAAAUGGCUGCUAUAAUAAUAAUAAUGCAGAUGAUGUUAUAUAAGGUAUAUCAGACCUACAGGCUGCUGGCAGGAUUUGUCAGAUAAUCAAGCCACACUAACUAUGGAAAAUGAGCAGCAUUUUAAAUGCUUUCUAGUGAAAAAUUAUAAUCUACUUAAACUCUAAUCAGAAAAAAAGAAUAUUCUCAAAAAAAUCUAUUAUGAAAGUCAAUAAAAUAGAUAAUUUAACAAAAGUACAGGAUUAGAACAUGCUUAUACCUAUUAACAAGAACAAAAUUUCUAAUGCUGCUCAAGUGGAAAGGGUAUUGCUAAAAGGAUGUUUCCAAAAAUCUUGUAUAUAAGAUAGCAACAGUGAUUGAUGAUAAUACUGUACUUCAUCUUACUUGCCACUAAAUAACAUUUUAUAAUUCCUCAAAGUAAAAUUGAGAAAUCUUUAAGUUUUUUUCAAGUAACAUAAUCUAUCUUUGUAUAAUUCAUAUUUGGGAAUAUGGCUUUUAAUAAUGUUCUUCCCACAAAUAAUCACGCUUUUUUCCUAUGGUUACUGCAUUAAACUCUAUAUUAAGUUGUUUUUGAACUUAUUGUUUUGUUAUUUAAGUUUAUGUUAUUUAUAAAAAAAACCUUAAUAAGCU
rnacentral:lncRNA from 1 species